rnacentral:misc_RNA from 1 species
ACAGUUCAGUUUGAGCGAUCUUCGAGGCGACUUCAAGAGUGAAAACUAGUGAUCAAGAGUGUGGUACCAGUGAAACCUACGACAUUGGCUACGACUGAGGACAUCGUGAGUGCUUAGUGUUUGAACUUAGUGCUUAGUGUUUGAACCUAGUGCUUUGUGUUGGACCUAGUGUUAGUGAAUAAAGUCUUGAAAAGAGUCAGCAGGUCUUUCUCUCCAAAUCCUUCGAACCCUAACACGUAACAAUAUUU